UACGAAGGGGGCAAGCGUUGUUCGGAAUUACUGGGCGUAAAGGGCGCGUAGGCGGCUUACCAAGUCAGGCGUGAAAUCCCUCGGCUUAACCGGGGAACUGCAUCUGAUACUGGAUGGCUUGAGUUCGGGAGAGGGAUGCGGAAUUCCAGGUGUAGCGGUGAAAUGCGUAGAUAUCUGGAGGAACACCGGUGGCGAAGGCGGCAUCCUGGACCGGCAUUGACGCUGAGGCGCGAAAGCCAGGGGAGCAAACGGG
rnacentral:rRNA from 1 species